UGUAUCCGAAAGAAAGGGGUACGCAUCGGCCGUCCUAACUCAGCAGCAACAAGGGAUGGGAAAACAGGCCAUCUCCUAUUACAGCACGGCUCUUGAUAACGUGGAAAAAGGGAUGCCCCCCUGUUAUCGGUCUUUGGCAGCGGCCGCAUUUGCAUAUCAGAAAGCGUCCUCAAUCACCAUGGGGCACCCAGUUACAUUAUAUACGACCCAUGCACUGCAUGCGCUCCUAACGAGUCAGACCUUUGUGAUAACGAACUCCCGUCGAACAGGAUAUGACUCCAUUCUGUCAGCCCCGGAGCUCACCAUAGAACGGUGCACCACGGUGAAUCCGGCCGAUAAACUGGUAACCCCGAUAGAUGGUGUACCCCAUGAGUGCGUAGCAGUAUCAGAGAUAUUUUUGAAAGCGCGUUCAGAUUUGGAGAACUGCCCUAUUGAUAAUGCUAAGCAUACGUAUUUUGUGGACGGUUCCUGUUAUCGUACUAAUACGGGCAAUAAGGCUGGGUUGGCAGUAGUAGAAGCACGACGAAACCCGGCGACGUUUGAGGUAGUGAUGAGUGUUCCGCUCCCCCAACCCUGCUCGGCCCAGCUAGCUGAACUACGGGCGUUGACAGCUGCAUGUAAUUUGGGCCGUAAUGAGAGUUGCAAUAUAUAUACGGACUCAGCCUAUGCUCAUGGAGUCUGCCAUGUGUUUGGACCAAUCUGGGCUCAAAGGGGAUUCCAGCGGGCAGAUGGGACCGCCGUGACCCACGGGGAGGCGAUUUCAGAUUUACUAGAUUUUUACAGCAGGGCUAAUAGUACUCUUUUUCCUUUUCUACGACCCAAUGUUUAAAAGAAAUGCCCUGGAUUCCUAUCAUACAUUACACCCACUAGCGACUGCUACUUCCCGCACAGCCCUCUAUCCUCGUAUUAGGCGUGUUCGAUCCUGGACGGCCCCUGGCUCCACUAUAGGUUCCCGUAGCUCGAUGUGCGCGUUAGCUCUCCUUAGACUCGCCCAUGAAGAGUCCCUGAUUGGGAGAAGUCCCUAUUUGGCCUCAUUCACUUUCUCCCCAGCUCGGUCUGUGGAGAUUCGCGUAGGACAUCUUAGAAUUACUGGUAGGGCACGGACGAGUAGGUGCUCCUUCGAGCUGCCCACGAUUGGCCCCCUGUGGCUACCGUUCCUUUGCUCGGCUACGGCAUGUUCUUACCAUGAUAGUACAGGGUCACCCUUCGCAUCCCGGGCUCUCCACCCCCUCCUCAUUGCCCCGAUGUCAACUCCACUCGCACAUAAAUUAAUGAAAUUACAAUAUUAUUCAAUCUCUACCGCUAACACUUCGCUCACGGAGGAGCAGAGUAACAUGUACAUGGCAUGGAUGGUCCACACUGCUCGAUCUGUGACGGAUCGCUCGUGUCUCGUAUGUCAUGAUCGUAGCCUCACCCCCCAUUUUAUGCUGCCUAUGGGGAACCUCAAAGAAUGUCUCACCAACCCCUAUUCUGUUGAUUUUUUGUGUCCUACUGUGUGCCUCCUUGGGGCCCUUUCGGCUGAUUUUGGCCCAUCGUGGAUGCACAAUGCAAGCUCCUCAUGCCUGUUUCACCCUGUAACCACUCAAGUGUCGACUUUUGUCCGCGUCCAACCAUCUCUGCCCUCGUUCUUUCCCAUCUGCCUCUGCUCCUCUGUUGGCGUAUAUCCUGUGGGAAAUAUGUCUGCCCGAUGUAAUGUCUCCCUGUUCGCUAAUGAUUUGCAAAUUGAAACCCCCUCUGUUUGUGAUUCACCCCCAUGCACCCCCAACGUGGUAAUUCCCCUACCUGAUCUUAGUGGUGGUACUGUUCCCCUUGCGGAUGUGUUCUGGUUUUGCGGGGGCCAACGUGUACGCCAGACCUUGCCUGCGGAGUGGCAGGGAUGCUGCGCCCCGGUUAGGUUGGAUGGUAAGACCCGUGUUUUGUUGGUGGCUGACCGCCCGUCAUCCGGCCGGUCCCGUUCACGCCGCGACGUGGCCCAAUGGACUCAGUAUGUCCGUGACGCUGAUGCAGCGAACUAUUCUGACUGGGCUGCUGGUGAGACCGUCCAUCUUGACUUUGGGGGUACCCCCGUUGGCGUUCCUGCUCGCUACAGAGCCAUGGAGGCCGUUGGCAGUGGUGUACCGUCUAUUUUACUCCCGGCCGUGCAGAUCAACCGCAACGUGGCAUGGAUUAAUUACAUGUGGUACAACGAGCAACGCUUCAUUAACUACUCGCUGAGUGCUCUCGGACUGGUCCGUGAUCAGCUCCAUGCCACUUCCCUCAUGGCUGCUCAGAACCGUUUUGUCCUGGACCAGAUGCGGGCCCCGGAGGAAGGUGUCUGUACAAUGAUUGGUCCCGAGUGCUGUGCUGCAAUCCCUUUGCACACUGGUUCUGAGGGAGCCCUCUCCAAGGUCCUGGGCCAACUACAAGCCCUCCAGACGGAGCAAGCGGCUAACUCCGGCUUUGGGUCUAGUCUCCGCCUCCCGCCGUGGCUCUCCUGGUUUCUUUCUGGAGAUUGGACUGCUACCCUGACCCGCUUGGGAGCGUCCCUGUUCGUCCUCCUUCUCCUUAUGGCUCUGGUGGCCUGCUGUGUGAUCCCCUGCGCACGGCGGAUGGUGAUGUCCCCAGCCUCCUUUUCUGGCCAGUAUGUUGUUAAGGGUGAGGCGUUACCGCCUCAACGGGGGGUGGUGAUUGAGACCAUGCGACGGGGGUCAAUGAGCAGCGACAGCAGCGACAGACAGGGGUCAAUGAGCAGUGACAGCAGCAACACCAGCGUCUACGAGAACAUGAGACGGGACAUGAGCCAGGACUGAUGGGAAAGGGGGCGCAAGGACCCGUUUGUACAAGGUAGUGGCAAGAUAUCGUAUUGGCCCAUUUGAGGUGGAGAAUGCUUUAAUAGAACAUGAUGCUGUGGCUGAGUCAGCUGUGGUCAGCAGUCCUGACCCAGUCAGAGGAGAGGUAGUGAAGGCAUUUGUUGUGCUUACUU